rnacentral:rRNA from 2 species
UUAGAGUUUGAUCCUAGCUCAGGAUGAACGCUGGCGGCGUGGAUAAGGCAUGCAAGUCGAACGAAUUUUCUAAAAUCGGAGAUGCGAUUAUAUCAAGUCAAAGUUUUUAAAAAAUUAGUGGCGAACGAGGUAGUAAUACAUAGGAACUUUCCCCAAGGUCGUGAAUAAUCCGUCGAAAGACGGACUAAUACACGAUGGUAUCCGACUUUGGUCGGAUUAAAGAUUUAUCGCCUUGGGAAAGGCCUGUGCGGUAUCAGCUAGUUGGCGGUGUAAUAGACCACCAAGGCGGACGCCUAGGGGAGCUGAGAGGCUGACCCCCACCGAUGGUACUGAGACACGGACCAUACACCUACGGGUGGCUGCAGUCGAGAAUCUUCCACAAUGGACGAAAGUCUGAUGGAGCGA